rnacentral:rRNA from 1 species
CGGGUGAGUAAUGUCUGGGAAACUGCCUGAUGGAGGGGGAUAACUGCUGGAAACGGUAGCUAAUACCGCAUAACGUCGCAAGACCAAGGAGGGGGACCUUCGGGCCUCUUGCCAUCGGAUGUGCCCAGAUGGGAUUAGCUAGUAGGUGGGGUAACGGCUCACCUAGGCGACGAUCCCUAGCUGGUCUGAGAGGAUGACCAGCCACACUGGAACUGAGACACGGUCCAG